GUCUGGCUUUGCAGGCAGGCAGAGAGCUGAUUUGAUUCCAUGACAUGACGAGGAUUAGGGAGCAGAGCGCCCUCCUGCUACAGCUUUCUGCCAGUGUAGCGCUUAUUCAUCCAGAAGGGCAGAAAGAUAAUGCCUUUUGGUUCCUACUACAGCUUACUACGAGACAAGAGGGGUCCUUGAUUCCUUAAAUGUUACUACUAAUUCCUAACUAGUGCUAGUAGUGGUAACCCAAAAGGCUUCAAUUUCCAAUGCUGCAAAAAUCCGUUUUUCGGGAUUCACUUGCCGGUUCUCUAUGCUAGCAAUGUCUGCACUGUGUAGCCGCUUUCCCCCAGUCUUCCAUUCCCUCACUUCCUAUAAACUUUCAUCCCUUCCCUACCACAACUACCUCCCCGCUUAUCCCCACCGGAACCGCUUGAGAACUUGGGCCUCUGUAUCCAAGAAACCCAGGGGCAGCAGAAGGGCGAAAAGCAAUGAGGAUCUUUACAACGAUAUUAGAGAAUUCUUAUCCGCUGUUGGCCUCCCUUACGAUCAUGUUCCCUCCAUGAAACAGCUCUCAGAGCAUGGAAGGCAGGACCUUGCAAAUAUUGUUAGACGAAGAGGAUAUAAAUUUAUAAGAGAGCUCCUAACAAGAUCAGCAGAAAUGCAAAUCAACAUUUCUAUCACAGAGGAAAAAUUGACAGGAGGGCAGCAUAUCCCUAGUGGCGGUGAAGGUCAUCAUGAGAAAGUCAAAGACUCAUGUGAGGAUACUUCCUUGUUGAGUGAAGCUAACGAAAUAAAAGAGCAUGAAAAAAGCUUAGUUGAAGAUGCUCAAACUAAUACAGGGCUCGAUUCAGACAAAGAUGAUUCUUGUAGUCCAGAAUCUUCAAUUUAUCCAUUGUUGCAGGACAAGGUGGCCAAAUUUAUCCAGGAUGGAGAAUUGGAUGACGUUGAAGACAGUGGAUUUGACAUUCUGAAUGAAAGAACUUCACAAGAUUCCACAGCAAUUGCUCAAUCACCAUAUGCUAUUGAAUCAAACUCGAUUUCAGUUCUUGGGCAGCAGAAUGAUCCUGUGCUCAAUAGUGCUGAUACAGUGAAUGGAAACAUGGCAUCAUCCUCUCAUCAGGUUGAACACAGAGUAAUGGAAACUAGUUCCUCAAGGAUUGAGAGUCAUUCAAGUGAAGAGGCGAAUAUUAUUGACUUUAAAGAGGAUCAAGAAAUUGAGGCCCAAAACUUGGGGAAUCAAGCUGAAAUUAAUCAUCUAAAGUUCAUUCUGCAUCAGAAGGAGUUGGAACUGACCCAGUUGAAGGAAGAGAUUGAGAAAGAAAAGGUUGCUCUGUCUAUUUUGCAGACUAAGGCAGACAGAGAGAUUAUUAAAGCCCAAAAACUUAUCCUGGAAAAAGAUGCCGAACUGCAGGCUGCUGAAGAGAGCCUUUCAGAACUGAAGGAGGUUGAAAUUCAGUACUGGGGAGAGGGUGAAGUUGUUGAGGUGGCCGGUAGCUUCAAUGGUUGGCAUCAGAAGAUUAAAAUGGAUUCACAGCCAUCUUCCAGCCUCUCAGACCCAAAUGGAUCACGGAAAUCUCGACUUUGGAGAUCAGUAUUGUGGCUUUAUCCUGGGGUUUACGAGAUAAAGUUCAUUGUGGAUGGCCAUUGGACAGUUGAUCCUCAGAGGGAGUCAGUUACCAGGGACACCAUGCAUAACAACAUACUUCGAGUUGUUAGAUGAUAAAAGCAAUAUACUUUUUUGAUGUACAUACCUAAGAGAAUGUCAGGUAUCAUUUUGGCCCCGCUUGCCACCCAGAUUCUGCUGCCCUGCAGUGGAUUUCCGCUAAACGUGUAGUAAUCAUGUGAAAUCGGUGCACUUCUGAACUGGAUGGAUUCAGAUUUUGCAUUGUAGGAAGGGGGUUCAGAUGUCUCUGUAGCUCUGAAUUACGUUAGUGCUGCUGCUGCUGAAGAGUACAUUUAUAAUUAAGGUGCAAACACGACCGGAGAUCAACCGUAAAGUUUGGGGAAAAUGAUCCUGAAAGAAGAAUCAGUUGUAAACUACGUGAGAACAGGUUAUGCCCAAAAGAUCAUUUUUAAACUUAGCAGGCUGGAGAAAUAAGAUAUCGAAAUUUCUAUUAUAAUUAAACUUCAUGCUAAAUGUUAUGGAGGAGAGGGAGUCUAAAGUGGCUUAUGUAGGGAUUGAAAUUUCGAUUAUAAUUAAAUUUCAUGCUAAAUGUUACAAGGGAAGGAGAGUUUAAAGAUGUCAUUGGAGAUGAGGAAACUAAAGAAGCUUGUGUAAGGUUGGGUCUAGUGAUUCAUUAGACGAGAUAAGUACAUUACUGUACUCUCUGAAUUUUUAAAAAACAAGAAAAAGGAAUUACAACCUUUGAUCUAAUACAAUACACGGGAGAGAAAGAAGCUUUCCUUGACUAUUGGAUCAAAGGCCAAUGGUUUGAGAACCA